rnacentral:rRNA from 1 species
UACAUGGGGUGCAAACGUUGCUCGGAAUUAUUGGGCGUAAAGCGCACGUAGGCGGCCAACUAAGUCAGACGUGAAAUCCCUCGGCUUAACCGGGGAACUGCAUCUGAUACUGGAUGGCUUGAGUUCGGGAGAGGGAUGCGGAAUUCCAGGUGUAGCGGUGAAAUGCGUAGAGAUCGGGAAGAACAUCGGUGGCGAAAGCGCUCUACUGGACCGCAACUGACACUCAGAGACGAAAGCUAGGGGAGCGAAUGGG